rnacentral:tRNA from 1 species
AGCGAAUUAGCUCAGUUGGUAGAGCACAAGACUAUGGCUCUUGCUGUCGCGGGUUCAAUCCCCGUAUUUGCAUCCA